rnacentral:rRNA from 1 species
UACGUAGGGUGCGAGCGUUGUCCGGAAUUAUUGGGCGUAAAGGGCUCGUAGGUGGUUUGUCGCGUUGUUCGUGAAAACUCACAGCUCAACUGUGGGCGUGCGGGCGAUACGGGCAGACUGGAGUACUGCAGGGGAGACUGGAAUUCCUGGUGUAGCGGUGGAAUGCGCAGAUAUCAGGAGGAACACCGGUGGCAAAGGCGGGUCUCUGGGCAGUAACUGACGCUGAGGAGCGAAAGCGUGGGGAGCGAACAGG